rnacentral:rRNA from 1 species
GAUGAACGCUGGCGGCGUGCCUAAUACAUGCGAGUCGAGCGAACGGACGAGAAGCUUGCUUCUCUGAUGUUAGCGGCGGACGGGUGAGUAACACGUGGAUAACCUACCUAUAAGACUGGGAUAACUUCGGGAAACCGGAGCUAAUACCGGAUAAUAUUUUGAACCGCAUGGUUCAAAAGUGAAAGACGGUCUUGCUGUCACUUAUAGAUGGAUCCGCGCUGCAUUAGCUAGUUGGUAAGGUAACGGCUUACCAAGGCAACGAUGCAUAGCCGACCUGAGAGGGUGAUCGGCCACACUGGAACUGAGACACGGUCCAGACUCCUACGGGAGGCAGCAGUAGGGAAUCUUCCGCAAUGGGCGAAAGCCUGACGGAGCAACGCCGCGUGAGUGACGAAGGUCUUCGGAUCGUAAAACUCUGUUAUUAGGGAAGAACAUAUGUGUAAGUAACUGUGCACAUCUUGACGGUACCUAAUCAGAAAGCCACGGCUAACUACGUG